UCAGCAGAAUCCCCUCCAGCGUUGGAGAAAUAAAUUCAUGUUGGUGACUUGAACUAAACACUGCAGGUAGAAACACACCUGUUAGAAAUAUUAAGACAGAAAAGCAACAACUAGAAAAACAUCACGCUGACACGUAGAGAGUAAAAAAAAAUGUGAUUAGUCGUUUAAAUAACUUUACCAGGUUUAUUGUUCAUUCUACUCUUUAUUCUUUUUCCUAAUUUUAUUGUGGUUUUACCUUCUUUUUACUUUUUUUAUUCCCUUUGUCUUUCCUCACUUGGAUCAUUUUAUCUGCUCUUUUUGUGUUACUUUAUUUUGAAAAUCCUUCACCAUAUUUGGACUGACUCUUCCGUUGUUCAGUGAACUUCUUUCUUCUGUUUUCUUUUACUUUUUGUUCCUCUCUGGAUGCAUGUUUUGGUUCUUCAUUCUCUGAUUUAUUUAUCUUCUCCCCACCAGGAUGGAUUUGAUCAGUUUCUAUUUUAAAGUCUUUAUAAUUUCUACUUCCUGUUGCUCGUGUCCCGGUGGAAUAAAAGCUUCGUCUUAAUGCAGAACUGCCACUGCUGCUGCUUCAUUAUUUACGACUCGGCCUCGGUUUUAUGGAGGAUUCGGACGCUUCCUGCUCCAGGGUAAAAGCCUCUGAAUAAAUAAUGGAGCUGACAGGACGGAUAAAUCAGGACCAGGGACUUCUGACGACUGGGAAUCUAGUCUAGAUGUUUUAUUUUGAAAACCGACGACUUCAAUCAGUCGAUGUUCAUCUUUAACAUUUCAGAGGCUGUUUAGAGACAAAAGAAGUUUUUCUCUGACUGACGUCUUUGUUCUGCUCUGGUCGAACCCAGAACACGUGACCAAACUGUUAUCCUCUGAUAACGAGGCGCUAAACUUCACUUUCUUCAUCUGAAAUCCUAAAAACGUGACUGAAGACUUUAAGGAGCUGCAGUUUUUAACCCUCUGGACUCUUUUUCUUCACUGAGGUUCACUUUUAAUCUGAAGUCCUGCAGCUCUGUGGAACCAGAAAGAAGAAGGAGGGAGAACCUCCAGAGAACCUGGAACCAAUGAUGAACUGAAAUCCAAUCAGUGAUUUAAAAUCAGUGUCUCCAGAUCUGCUUCUGUCCAGUCUGUGGUGUUUGUGCUGCAGCUGCUGACUGACCUCACAUCAGACUAUUAUUAUUAUUAUUAUUAUUAUUAUUACAUUUAGAACUGGAUCAGAUCUGCUCCAGGUUCCAUCAUCCGUCUCACUGAAACGCAUUCUGGUUUACUUUAGUUUGGAAACUUGUCAGUUAAACGUCGGUUAGUGAGGAUUUAACUGGAGGCCAGAACAGGAAACUGGAAAAAAACAGAAAACUGAAACACAGAAGAAGAUUUAGAGCAGAGAGACGAAAAUACAGACUGAGAUUAAAGAAUUACUGAGGCUGAAGAAGAGUUAUCAGUGAGGAGGCUCCAGUUAUCCAGCUAGGUCUCCAUGGUAACUGAUGCUGCACAGCUAGAUC